rnacentral:rRNA from 1 species
GGUAUGGCCUACCAGCGAUACGGGUAGCCGGCCUGAGAGGGCGACCGGCCACACUGGGACUGAGACACGGCCCAGACUCCUACGGGAGGCAGCAGUGGGGAAUCUUGCGCAAUGGGCGAAAGCCUGACGCAGCGACGCCGCGUGGGGGAUGAAGGCCUUCGGGUUGUAAACCUCUUUCACCAUCGACGAAGCCCUUUGGGGUGACGGUAGGUGGGGAAGAAGCACCGGCUAACUACGUGCCAGCAGCCGCGGUAAUACGUAGGGUGCGAGCGUUGUCCGGAUUUAUUGGGCGUAAAGAGCUCGUAGGCGGUUUGUCGCGUCGGCCGUGAAAACCUACAGCUUAACUGUGGGCUUGCGGUCGAUACGGGCAGACUUGAGUUCGGCAGGGGAGACUGGAAUUCCUGGUGUAGCGGUGAAAUGCGCAGAUAUCAGGAGGAACACCGGUGGGGAAGGCGGGUCUUUGGGCCCAUACUGACCCUUAGGAGCGAAAGCGUGGGGAGCGAACAGGAUUAGAUACCCUGGUAGUACCCCCCCGUAAACGGUGGGCGCU